GACGAACGCUGGCGGCAUGCUUAACACAUGCAAGUCGAACGGUAAGGCCCUUCGGGGUACACGAGUGGCGAACGGGUGAGUAACACGUGGGUGAUCUGCCCUGCACUUCGGGAUAAGCCUGGGAAACUGGGUCUAAUACCGGAUAGGACCACUGCCUGCAUGGGUGGUGGUGGAAAGCUUUUGCGGUGUGGGAUGGGCCCGCGGCCUAUCAGCUUGUUGGUGGGGUGAUGGCCUACCAAGGCGACGACGGGUAGCCGGCCUGCGAGGGUGACCGGCCACACGGGGACUGAGAUACGGCCCAGACUCCUACGGGAGGCAGCAGUGGGGAAUAUUGCACAAUGGGCGCAAGCCUGAUGCAGCGACGCCGCGUGAGGGAUGACGGCCUUCGGGUUGUAAACCUCUUUCAGCACCGACGAAGCGCAAGUGACGGUAGGUGCAGAAGAAGGACCGGCCAACUACGUGCCAGCCGCCGCCGUAA
rnacentral:rRNA from 1 species